GCAAAGAAUGGGCUAAUGAAAAAUGCACUCUUGGCAAAUCGCUUUACAUAUGCCAGAAUUGUUAUUCGGAUGGUGAAUCUGAACAUUGAUAUUUUUUUUGUCAGCUUUUGUUUGAGUGUUUAUGAAUCGAUCUUCCAGUUGUUGUUGCAAGUUUGUCCACAUUUCAGGACUGGUUUAAGUAUCAUGAUGAACCAAUGCUGUCUGUUUUGUAAUGAAAUUUAAUCUUUGAAUUUUUCGCUUAAAAAAGGUGAAACAAACAUCGGAGCCUGAGAGCUAUGGCCUACGUGCCAUCAGUUACUAAGAAUGUGACUCAAUAUUUUCGGUUAAAAUUUACUGGUGGUUCAAUGGCCAUGUUCAAUGAAAUUUUCAAAAUUUUGUGAGGAUGCCACCUGGACGCCUUCCUGGUGGGAUGUUCCAGACAUGUCCCACUAGGGAGAGGGCCCCAAGGAUGACCCAAGACACUCUGGAAAGACUGUCUCCCGGCUGGCUUGGGAACGCCACGGGAUCCCCCAGGGAGGAGCCGGACGAAGUGGAUAGGGAGAAGGAAGUCUGGAAUUACCCGCUUAAAUUGCAGCUCCCGCGACCCGACCUUGGAUUAGCGGAAGAAAACGGAUGGAACGGAUUUUCUGAAUAUUAGACCAAUGUACAGAUGUGUUUACAAUGCUAUUAACUUUUUUGAACAACACAGGUCUCAACUAUUCAUGCGUUUUUAACAAAUGGUCAAGUGUUCCUGGAAAGAAAAAAAAAUGCUAUACUUUUGAGAUCAGCCCCGCUUUGGUUACCAGGAUGCAUUGUGGUUUGCAUUGCUGAACCUUCUCCGUAAAAAUGUUAAUCAUUUGCAUUUAAGUGUUACCCAUAGUUCGUUGACUAUGUGUCUUAAUUCACUGUCGGGUUAAUUUUAUCUUGUCCAUUACCAUGAAAGUGUGACUGUGUCAUGUUUGUGAAACAAUAACAUCCCGGUUAGUUCUCUUGAAUUCUUUGCUAGAUAAUCAUGACCUUGCAUUUCACGCGAAUGUUCGUGUGCACUUCCUGGUAAGUACGAGAUAAACCCUCCUUGACUUGAGUGACUUCAAAACGUCACAACAGUGAAUGAGUUGGAAUGAGAAGCAUUUUGUGUGCAUCAAAAAUGGGAGCCUUCAGAUUGAUUGACACGUGUUGUUGGUUGUUUCCAGCACAGGUCAAACAGCAGCCAGGUGCUCAGACCUGAGCAUGAGGUCAUGACCUCUGCAUGCUCCCAUCAAAGCUCACUCAGUCGGUGUUAAAACCAGGUGCCCCCUCUCUUGUUGACAAUAGACACAUUGCUAUUGUUUUCAGAGCCCUAUCAGCGAAGCAUGAUGUGUUGCUGCCAAUGUCUGAGCAAAUGCACGUCCUGUCCUGUGUUGCUCUCCCUUUCUCCUGCUGCCUGGAAACUUCCUCUGCUGAUAAAAAAGACGGCCUGCUGGAGCAGGAUAAGCCAAAACAACAUUUAAAGAACAGCGAGGAUAGCGGGCACUUGAACUGACGCAAGACCAAAGAUAAUGUGCAAGAACGAAGUUGGGAGAAAGUUCCUGCCAUGGGAGAAUUGAACGUGAAUGGAAACUGUUAUCUCCCCCAUCUUUUCUAUCUUUUUGGAAGACAAAGCAGUUUGUGUGUGAGAACAAUAAAAGGAAUGUAAUAUACGCGUAUACACGUUUGUGUAAAUAUUGUUUAUAUUAUCGUCACACCUGAAGCAUUGCAAAGAAGACUCAUUAUAUGAAAUUUUACCAAAGCAGAAAUAUACAUCCAUUCAUACUUGUCCAGUCCAUACUUUUCCAACAAUA